rnacentral:rRNA from 1 species
AACGUAGGUUCCGAGCGUUAUCCGGAUUUACUGGGCGUAAAGCGCGUUCAGGCGGUUUGGCAAGUCGGGCAUGAAAUCUCUCGGCUCAACCGGGAGAGGUUGUCCGAUACUUCCAGACUUGAGGGCAGUAGAGGGUGGUGGAAUUCCGGGUGUAGUGGUGAAAUGCGUAGAUAUCGGGAGGAACACCAGCGGCGAAGGCGACUUUCUGGCUGCUAACUGACGCUGAGACGCGAAAGCUAGGGGAGCGAACGGG